CACGUAGGGAGCAAGCGUUGUCCGGAUUUAUUGGGCGUAAAGAGCUCGUAGGUGGUUCGAUAAGUCGGGUGUGAAAACUCUGGGCUCAACUCAGAGACGCCACUCGAUACUGUCGUGACUGGAGUCUGGUAGGGGAGUGUGGAAUUCCCAGUGUAGCGGUGAAAUGCGCAGAUAUCAGGAGGAACACCGGUGGCGAAGGCGGGUCUCUGGGCCGUAACUGACGCUGAGGAGCGAAAGCAUGGGGAGCGAACAGG
rnacentral:rRNA from 1 species